AACGAACGCUGGCGGCAUGCCUAACACAUGCAAGUCGAACGAAACCUUCGGGUCUAGUGGCGCACGGGUGCGUAACGCGUGGGAACCUGCCCUUAGGUUCGGAAUAACUCCCCGAAAGGGGUGCUAAUACCGGAUAAUGUCUUCGGACCAAAGAUUUAUCGCCUUUGGAUGGGCCCGCGUUGGAUUAGCUAGUUGGUAGGGUAAAAGCCUACCAAGGCGACGAUCCAUAGCUGGUCUGAGAGGAUGAUCAGCCACACUGGGACUGAGACACGGCCCAGACUCCUACGGGAGGCAGCAGUGGGGAAUAUUGGACAAUGGGCGAAAGCCUGAUCCAGCAAUGCCGCGUGAGUGAUGAAGGCCUUAGGGUUGUAAAGCUCUUUUACCCGGGAUGAUAAUGACGGUACCGGGAGAAUAAGCUCCGGCUAACUCGGU
rnacentral:rRNA from 1 species